UUUAAAACGAUUAUCGCCUUUGAUUUAAGGAUAUAAAAACUCAAAGCAGACUAAAGGAAGUAUAACACAAACCAACACAUAAGCCCAAGCGGAUGGGAAUUCCAUAUUAUAUUUCAAAAACGCCGCUCGACGUUUUUGACCUAAAAAUAAAUGUAGCUGAAAAUCAGCUGAAAAGUCACGUGGUACAUGGUACUGUCAUUUAUUUUUGGCAUAGAAAUUACAUUAUUUCUAAAGAAAGAGAUUUAGCUUGUUGAGCAAAUAAUUGACUUUCAUUGAAUAUUUUUGAUAAACCAAUAAAAUAUAGUUCAUAUUUAAAUCAAUUUUUAUUGGAAAAUCACUUUUCACAAAUACGAAUAUGCGGUCGAAUAGAAUUCAAGAUGGUUCGGACAAAAACAAGUGCUAGCGCUAAGACUAAAAAAAAACAAGAGAUGCAAGGUACAGGCGUAAUAAAAGGGAAAGGAUAAUAGACAUUGGUAUUCAGUGUGAUCGAUGGAGAAGAGUUAAAGAAGCUACUGGGAUUGAAAAGGACGAGAAAAUGAUGGAAAUAUUGAUCGAUGCAACUACUUCUGAACUAGAGAGCUUCAACAAUCAUCUUUUGAUACGCUCCAAACCAAAGCGAAAUGCUUUCAGCUAUGCAGGUGUCAGUUAGCAGCAAUAGAUUAUUCAAAACACUUGAAUCGUCCUGUUUUGUUGGACAAAGAAGGAAAUGAGAGGAGAAAAAAGGUGUACUCAAAAGCUGCUUGUAAUUGGAGCACAAAGCCUGUGAAAAAAACAUACCGGUACAUAACCGGUUUGAUCACUGAAGUUAUAAAUGAAUUCACCAUAGGCAAGAAAAGAAUAAGUGGCAAAUGUGAACAGCUGCCUGAAGACUCCAAAAGAAUUAGGUCAACUAUAGCCCCCGUCACCCCUCCACCUACAUCAAUACUUAGAGAUCAGCAUGUCUCUAGAUUGAGAAAAGCGAAAAAAUGAAUUGUUGCCCAAGACGUGUUUGAUAUUCAUUUGAAGUUGAUGCAGAAGUUAUCUUUGUUAGAUAACUAUUAAGUUUCACAUCUUUAGUGUAAAUAUAAUUUUAGAAGUGUUUUGAAAAUGUACAAUCUUACAUAAUGUUAUAAAUAAUGAAUGCUCUUGGUUGUACAAUGCAAUUACAUUUUUUAGGAAGUUUUAAUAUUGAAUUUAGCAUAAAAUAUUUUUUUUAUGUUAUAUUUUGUGCGUUUUUUAUCAAUACAUUUUUAUGCUUCCCCAAAAUUUAUUUUGGGGGGAGCAUAUAGUUGCCGCUUCGUCUGUCCGUCCAUGUGUCCGUCUGUGCACAAUUUUUGUCCAGGCUAUUUCUCAGAAAGUAAUGACCGGAAUUCAAUGAAACUUUAUGGGAAGCUUCACUACCAAGAGGAGAUGUGCAUAUUAUCAGCCGGUUCUCUUCAGAUGAUUUUUUAACAGAGUUAUGGCCCUUUGAAAUUUUCCAUUGUACAUAUAGUGCAAUUCUUGUCCGGGCUAUUUCUCAGCAACUUAUUACAGCAAUUCAAUGAAACUUGAUGGGAAGCUUCACUACCAACAGGAGAUGUGCAUAUUAUCAGCCAGUUCUGGUCGGAUGAUUUUUCACAGAGUUAGUGCAAUUCUUGUCCGGGCUAUUUCUCCCCAACUACUGACCGGAAUUCAAUGAAGCUUUAAUCCAUCCAUCGUAUAAUUUUGUCCAAAGUUAUGCCCCUUAAGACGUUUCCUUUUAUCUGAAUAUAUAGUACAAUAUUGUGAAAAAAAAACUUUUGGGGAGCAUCACCAGUCUACACCGGUUUCUUGUUACACAUGUAAAGAACACAAUUUUUCUUACAAAAUGUUUAGUUUUUUGUUUGAUUAUCGAUAUGUGUUUUUCAUUGCCUUCUUUAUUACCUGUAUUUAAUAAACCAUUGUAGUCGAUGUC